UGGCGGACGGGUGAGUAAUGUCUGGGAAACCGCCCGAUGGAGGGGGAUAACUACUGGAAACGGUAGCUAAUACCGCAUAACGUCGCAAGACCAAAGAGGGGGACCUUCGGGCCUCUUGCCAUCGGAUGUGCCCAGAUGGGAUUAGCUAGUAGGUGGGGUAACGGCUCACCUAGGCGACGAUCCCUAGCUGGUCUGAGAGGAUGACCAGCCACACUGGAACUGAGACACGGUCCAG
rnacentral:rRNA from 1 species